CUGUGCAAAACAAUGUCCCACAGGGACAUAAUGUACUCAGGGUUUCAAAUAACAAGAAGAAAUGUGCCUAUUGAGCAGAUGUGGGAAGCUAUAAAUAUUUCAUCUGCUGUUGUCCCUCAGGCACCCCUGGGUUGAAUGGAAUAUCAUUGUUUCUUUUGAAGUCCUAAGUCUAGCUCAGAGACAGAUGCUUGACUCUUUCCUGCUGCCUAGUCUGCUGAGCAGAGCUUCAGUCUCCACCAUCAAUCAUCCAGUGAGGAAUUUGCACUUACACAAGGAACUCUUCCUCGGAGAGAUCCCCUCCUGAACCCACCUGCAGUUCACCAGCCCCAGACCAAGAGCACCUUCUCUAUGCCUCUCUGAAAUGUCCAUCCACUCCAGAGAACCAGCCCCUGACACCCACCCCCUUGCCCUGCCUGCACCGAUUGUGCAAGGAGGGAAGGUCAACAGAGCCAAGUCCAUUGAGGGAUAUCAAGAGAAGCCAGAGUAAACCCUAAGUCCUUGUUCACAAUGAAAUCUGAUGGCAAUUAAAUUCUGGCAUUUUCCCCAGCUACUGUAUGAAGAGGAUGCUGAAGGCCAUUACUAUACAGCAUACUU
rnacentral:lncRNA from 1 species